UUUUCCUGGGCCAUUAGCUCAGGUGGUUAGAGCGCACCCCUGAUAAGGGUGAGGUCCCUGGUUCAAGUCCAGGAUGGCCCAUAUCUCUAUGUUGGGGGUAUAGCUCAGUUGGUAGAGCGCCUGCUUUGCAAGCAGGAUGUCAGCGGUUCGAGUCCGCUUACCUCCACUGAAUACCACCUCUUACAUAUAGUUGAAGUGGGAAAUUGUUUUGAGUCGUGUCCUAAUUUGCUCUGAGCGAAUCUAGCUUCCUAUUUUAUCCAAGAAAUAAGAUGCUGGACUCAUUGAAUUUUUUUUCAUUGUUUUCAGAGAACCUUGACAACUGCAUAGAUUAUUUUUAAAGACAAUAAGCAUCUUUAAUGAUGCAGAUUUAUUAUUUGUGCGAAUGCAUUAAAUAACAAUUCUAUUAAGCUGAUGCUUCAAUUAUUGAAGUUAUUGGUCAAGCUACAAAGGGCUCACGGAGGAUACCUAGGCACACAGAGGCGAUGAA
rnacentral:tRNA from 1 species